GAUGAAGAACGUAGCGAAAUGCGAUAAGUAAUGUGAAUUGCAGAAUUCAGUGAAUCAUCGAAUCUUUGAACGCACAUUGCGCCCUCUGGUAUUCCGGGGGGCAUGCCUGUUCGAGCAUCAUUAUAACCACUCAAGCUUUCGCUUGGUAUUGGGGCUCGCGGUUCCGCGGCCCCUAAAAUCAGUGGCGGUGCCUGUCGGCUCUACGCGUAGUAAUACUCCUCGCGAUUGAGUCCGGUAGGUCUACUUGCCAGCAACCCCCAAUUUUUACAGGUUGACCUCGGAUCAGGUAGGGAUACCCGCUGAACUUAAGCAUAUCAAUAAGCGAGGA
rnacentral:misc_RNA from 1 species